rnacentral:rRNA from 1 species
CCUACGGGUGGCAGCAGUGAGGAAUAUUGGUCAAUGGGCGGGAGCCUGAACCAGCCAAGCCGCGUGAGGGAAGAAGGUACUGCGUAUCGUAAACCUCUUUUGUCAGGGAACAAAUGCGGGGACUAGUCCCCGGAUGAGGGUACCUGAACAAACAGCAUCGGCUAACACCGUGCCAGCAGCAGCGGUAAUACGGGGGAUGCGAGCGUUAUCCGGAUUUAUUGGGUUUAGAGGGUGCGCAGGCGGCCUGUUAAGUCAACGGUAAAAGCCAGGGGCUAAACCCCGGAGCGACGUUGAAACUGGCGGGCUAGAGUUGGAGAGAGGUACGCGGAAUGCGCGGUGUAGCGGUGAAAUCCGUAGAUAUCGCGCAGAACCCCGAUUGCGAAGGCGACGUACCGGCACCACACUGACGCUGAGGCACGAAAGCGUGGGUAUCGAACAGGAUUAGAUACCCCAGUAGUC